ACCACAUCAACAACAGACACAUCAACUUCAACAGCAACCAUAUCAACAACAAACACAUCAACUCCAACAACCACAGCAUCUACUACUUCAAAUUCGACCAGUGCAACCACAGGAUCUUCCACCACUCUUAGUACUUCAACUCGUAACCCGUACCCCAUACGUAUCGGCGUGCGAGUUUUGGUCAAAUCUUCUCUGGGGCUGAAUGUAACCCAAGCGAACGCCAUCGUCCAGCAGUACUUAUCCCAGCUAAACCUCCCAACAUCCUACGGUGUAACCGCCAAUGUAACGCGUGUUAAACAAGUAUGAAGAGCUCUGGAUAUUCCCAAUGUCCUCGAUCUGUUUUACAUUUUUUUUAAUUUUCAUAUCUAUUUGAGAUCAUUUGUGCUUCUGUAAUUAAUUUAAAUUUACUUAUAUAUAAUUGCAUUUGCAUGAGAUUUUAAUAUUAAAGUUUAGGAACAAUUUAUGGUAAAAUGUACAUUGUAUAAUAGUUAAAACUGAUAGUAACUGGUGGUGGAUAGUAAAUAGUUAAAAUGUAAUUUAUCAAUUAUGAAUGAAGCAAAAACCUUUAUUCAAAAGAAUAAAUUGAUAAAUCCUGAACAAUGAGAAUGUUUUGUCUUUUGCUGCUUUCUUAAUAAAGUAUUUGAGGUUUCUG